GACGAACGCUGGCGGCGUGCUUAACACAUGCAAGUCGAACGGAAAGGCCCUGCUUUUGUGGGGUGCUCGAGUGGCGAACGGGUGAGUAACACGUGAGUAACCUGCCCUUGACUUUGGGAUAACUUCAGGAAACUGGGGCUAAUACCGGGUAGGAGCUCCUGCUGCAUGGUGGGGGUUGGAAAGUUUCGGCGGUUGGGGAUGGACUCGCGGCUUAUCAGCUUGUUGGUGGGGUAGUGGCUUACCAAGGCUUUGACGGGUAGCCGGCCUGAGAGGGUGACCGGCCACAUUGGGACUGAGAUACGGCCCAGACUCCUACGGGAGGCAGCAGUGGGAAAUAUUGCACAAUGGGCGGAAGCCUGAUGCAGCAACGCCGCGUGCGGGAUGACGGCCUUCGGGUUGUAAACCGCUUUCGCCUGUGACGAAGCGUGAGUGACGGUAAUGGGUAAAGAAGCACCGGCUAACUACGUG
rnacentral:rRNA from 1 species